rnacentral:rRNA from 1 species
GACGAACGCUGGCGGCGUGCUUAACACAUGCAAGUCGAACGGAAAGGCCCUGCUUUUGUGGGGUGCUCGAGUGGCGAACGGGUGAGUAACACGUGAGUAACCUGCCCUUGACUUUGGGAUAACUUCAGGAAACUGGGGCUAAUACCGGAUAGGAGCUCCUGCUGCAUGGUGGGGGUUGGAAAGUUUCGGCGGUUGGGGAUGGACUCGCGGCUUAUCAGCUUGUUGGUGGGGUAGUGGCUUACCAAGGCUUUGACGGGUAGCCGGCCUGAGAGGGUGACCGGCCACAUUGGGACUGAGAUACGGCCCAGACUCCUGCAGGAGGCAGCAGUGGGGAAUAUUGCACAAUGGGCGGAAGCCUGAUGCAGCAACGCCGCGUGCGGGAUGACGGCCUUCGGGUUGUAAACCGCUUUCGCCUGUGACGAAGCGUGAGUGACGGUAAUGGGUAAAGAAGCACCGGCUAACUACGUG